rnacentral:rRNA from 1 species
CGGUCCUAGUGGCGAACGGUCGCGUAUUUCCUCAGCAACCUGCCCUGAAGUGGGGGACAACAUCCCGAAAGGGGUGCUAAUACCGCAUGUGGUCACGAGUCGGCAUCGGCUUGUGUCUAAAGAUUUAUCGCUUCAGGAUGGGCUUGCGGCCUAUCAGGUAGUUGGUGGGGUAAUGGCCUACCAAGCCGACGACGGGUAGCUGGUCUGAGAGGACGAUCAGCCGGAUUGGGACUGAGAUACGGCCCAGACUCCUACGGGAGGCAGCA